UGUAUACAGAAAUCGAGUGAUUAUGUCAAAAAAUGAUGUAUGUCUUUUUUGACAAUUGCUUAAAAUAAAUUCUACACCGACAGAGCGGGCUGUUAAUCUAGAGGCUGGAGUACAAAGAAGUGGCACAAUGAUGUGGGCUGAUGACAUUUAUAAUUAUCAAGGAAUCACCCCUACAUUCGCUCAGAAUUUUAAUGAAACUGUCCCUUGGGAAGGAAGAACUGAUACCUUGAUAUCACGGUUUGUACAUCCUAUAUAUACGACAAAUUUUAGAACAUUAUAUAAUGAAGAACCAGAUCAUUUUAUCAUUAGUUGUAUGAUAAUACAACUUUUUCAUGAAUUCUUUUAUUAUAAAAAUAUUACUUCUAAAAUCCCCGCUUUAAGGGACCAAAUCACAUGGCUAAAAUUUUUAAUCUUUUUGAUAGAUAGUCGCUGUUGAUACUUAACCGAGUAUGGUCAUAUAGUCGGAUAAAUAAAAUUUCCAUCCUUUCAAAUAUAUAUUAUAUUCGUCAGU